ensembl:lncRNA
CUUGGCCAAGCCCAUGGAGCAAACUAGAAGAUAAAAUCCUUGAAAGGGAACACUGUGAAACAUUUGAUCACAUUUUGUUCAACAUCAAGCACAGGUCCAUUCAGGUCUGAUCGGAUUUCCUUUUCACUGGCAAUAUUUGACUGGCUUUCUACAAGAUGGGUCAACCAUCGAGAUGGGUGUGGGGGGUCCUUCUGUGCCUUACCAUUUCUACAACUCCAGGUUCAUCUGCAGAUUCAUUAGACCCUGCCACAUUUGACACUACAACUCUGGCUUUGGCAAUCGAGAUCACCAAUCAAGUAUUCAAUGCCUCCCUGCAGAAUCAUCAAUCAGAGUACUCCAAGUGGAUGGAUGCAGAAGUGAAAAUGCUGCUUGACGGCGUUUACAAAUGUAACAAUUGCGAUACAAAACCAACCUACGGAGGUGUUGAGUGCAUAACCUACAGAUCCGGACUGAUAGCUACCGCGUCUAUCAUCUUCAACACCGAAUACAUCAACCCAUCUAUUGUCUGUGGAAUCUUUGAACAAAAUAUUGCAACAGCUCAACAACAUACAAAACUCAUUGUGAACAAGGAAUGCACAAUCAACACGACGAUCGAAAUAGAUAAAGAUGCGUGCAAGAAUAUAAGUACAACUACUGAGCCACCUAUAACUCCUGAACCAACGUCAACUCCUGAGCCAACUUCAACUCCUGAGCCAACCUCAACCUCUUCAACUCCUGAGCCAACUUCAACUCCUGAGCCAACCUCAACCUCUUCAACUCCUGAGCCAACUUCAACUCCUGAGCCAACUUCAACUCUGCAACCAACUUCAACUCCUUCAACUCCUGAGCCAACUACAACUCCUGAGCCAACUUCAACUCCUGAGGCAACUACAACUCCUGAGCCAACUUCAACUCCUGAGCCAACUACAACUCCGCAGCCAACUUCAACUCCUUCAACUCCUGAGCCAACUUCAACUCCUUCAACUCCUGAGCCAACUUCAACUCUGCAACCAACUUCAACUCCUACAACUCCUGAGCCAACUACAACUCCUGAGCCAACUUCAACUCUGCAGCCAACUUCAACUCCUUCAACUCCUGAGCCAACUACAACUCUGCAACCAACUUCAACUCCUUCAACUCCUGAGCCAACAACAACCACUGACCAUACAGUGACCCCUGACCUGACAAAUAACCCUGACCCUACAACGACCCCUGACCUUACCAACUCCACUGACCCUACCAAUACCCCUAACCAUACAGCAACCCUUGACCCGGCCAAUGGUGGAGGAAUAUCUGUUUCUCCCAGUGGUGGAGAAAACCGUGACGAUAGAGACUGGGUGCCCGGAUGGGGCAUUGCCGUCCUGGUGUUAGCUGCAGCCAUCCUGUUGCUUCUCAUCAUCCUUUCUAUCCUUUUGUGUGUUCACCAUUGCCGCGAGCGCCCAUCAGAGGACCCCAUGGAGAAGAACACUGACCCAUACUAUGAGCAGAACGAGAUGCCUCCUCAGGAAACUGUGCCAGUACUCUAUCCAUCAUUACCGAUAACAGCGCCCUCAAGUCCAAUGCAGACAAAGAUGGUUGUUGGUGACACACCCAAAAAGAAUCGGACAGGCUUCUAUGCUGUGAAUCCUUGACAUGAAGGCAAAUGAGCAUGUUUUUCGGAUUCAGGCCCACAAAAGAUGACGAAUGAAAGAGAAUAGGAGGCCUUUGACUAUACUGUGUAAGGAAUUUGAUUUGCAUGAAUGCUAUUUAUUACCCAUUCUGUAUUACACAACUUUAUUUAUAGCGAAAAUACAUAUUUUAAUCGUUGUAUCCUAUUGUAAUUAUAUUUCAUGUAUCAUGUUACUCAUUUAUGUCAUUUUGUUAUUAGUUUCCUGCUAAAGCCCCAUGUCCAUGAUAAGCUGGGAAAGAGCCCAGCGUCAGAGCUCUGUUUGUCAAGGAGACCCAUAAACGGAAAUAGCUAGUUCUGGCGGCACACUCUAGUCAUACGCCCCCUAAUCCAAUCAAACGCACCUACACUGACAGGCGGUCAAUUUAGGACCUUGUUUGCUGAGAAUUCACCCACAACCACCCAGCCUCCACCUGCUCUGGUUCUGCUCUGUAUUGUGUGUAACCGACACUACGGGUUAAUAUAUCUGAUGAACCCCAUGGAGGAUUGUAUUGUGCUCCCUGUUGUCAUGUUGGUAUUCUGUACCUGACAUCUAUAUGUGAUGCUUUAAAUCCUACAGCAGGGAGCACCAGAAAAGAGUGGAACCAUACCGCCAAACUAAGAUGCAUCACCAUUUUAUGAAAUAAUUGGUUGAACCUAUAACCAGAGUGAUUAUUGACAGGCCUACUUGUAUUGUGCCAGUCCAGCACUCUGCAAACCGGCUGAAGAAAACAGCAAUAUAUCACUUGACUCUCAAGUUUCUGACUGCAGAAUAAAAAAUGAUUGUCAUUCAUUUUAAACUCAGUGGAAAAUGCUACAUUUAAAGAUAGUUUCAGCAUUAUAUUGCAUUUUUACACAUAGAUCAGUAGUUAUAUCAGUAUAUUAUGUUAGGUUUGUUAGCUAAUGCCAUAUUUUCUGUUGUUGCUAUGGUUGCUACUAUGGACCUGUUCUCCAACCUAAACAAAAUAAUUGGUUGUUUUUCAGUCAGAACCCAAACAGCUAUUUCAAUAAAAACGUGGAUUUGAGUUCAUGUGCAUAUGACUUUUUUAUGAGAAAGAAGACUGACUCUCAGAUACUCGUCUUAGAUCGGUGA